GAUAGAAGAAAAGAGCAACAAUAGUUGUUUCAUUUUUCGACAGCGGCAUGCGAAAAUGAAAGUCAAAUUUUCACACAUUCUAAAAAAAAAAAGAGGCGUUAAUUUUUCCGUGAUAGUACAUCGUCGAUCGAUGUGAAAUCUUGAAGAAGGAGAAACCAACAGACUCUCCUCGGCGUUCUUCUCAUCAUGCGAGCCGUUUUCCACCUAAAUGGAACCGGCCGGAAUAAUAAACUCUCCCAUGAUGCCCAAUAAAUCGUCGCCGCCAUCUGUCACGCUUCUACGGUUACACAAAUUGACUUCCCCUGGCAGCCAAGCUGUGUAAUAAGCUGAAUGCCUUCGCCGCUGUGUGGCAUAUUGUGCGCAAUAGAAAAUAGGGCCCCCCUAAUAAUGCCCAGGGUUUUCUGGGGCUACGCUGCAACGAUUUUCACCGA